rnacentral:lncRNA from 1 species
UGGACUCGAUGGCAUGAAUCCAAGCGUCGGUGUCGAGCGGAUCCUCCGUCUUGUGGAACAAAGGAGGCUGUGUCCCCAAAAAGUCCUCAUAGCGAGCAACAUGAGGUUGCUGAGGAGCUCUUCCUCCCUGGGGCUGCCGCUGCUACUGGGAAUAGAGCCGGAGCAUGUGCUGUGCACCAUCUGCAAGAUUCAUCUUCCCAUUAGUCACAGAAUUCAAAAGCUUGCUUAAUCA